AAGUCGUAACAAGGUUUCCGUAGGUGAACCUGCGGAAGGAUCAUUAACACGUAUCCAAACGUUAAAAGCUCUUGUAACCCGCGUAGUUCGCAGUCUCUGAUAAAUCAUAGCCCGGAAAGUUGUAGUGAUUCAGAGACCUCUGGCUACGUGCGAACAUUGGAACAGUUACAAUCGAGCGGUAGUUCUAUAGGCAAUGUUUCCCCAAGCAGUCAGUGUCGGAAAGUGUCAUUGAUUGUGCAAGGAUAGCGCUUCUACGAUUCCUGUAGACCGUACACUCGGGCAAGAGCUUUGUACACUCGGGCAAGAGCUUUGCCAAAGGGUCCCCAUGCCCCCUAAUAACCCCACAGUUUAAUGUGAAGCUCAAUGUAAUACAUUGGGUAAAAAACCGAACAACUGUUAACAAUGGAUAUCUUGGUUCUC
rnacentral:misc_RNA from 1 species